GUAGAGGGAAGAAGUGGUGGGAGUAUCUCAGGGCCAUUCCUACUCUCCCCUGGGGAGAUAGCAGGGGACUGUUGUCCAAAACCCAUUAACUAAGGAGGCAGAAGUAUUCAGUACCAGGCCUGGCUCUGGAAGGACCUUACUGUGUGAAAUUUACUUUGUGAAAUGGCGUGCCUUUUUGGGGCCUCAAUUUCUUCACCUGUGAAAUGGGAAUAACGACUUGCCUACAUCACAGAACUUUAACUGCCCUUCAGGCUAGAAAUAAACAGGGGAGACAACCAGGAUGACAGCACCUGUGAGGCCUUCUGGGAAUUGCCUGGAAAGUUUAUCAAGAAUGCAGAUUCACAGGGCCCUCCCUAGAACUUCUGAGUCAGAAUCUAACCACCGCUCCCCACCCCAAGUCAACCUGAGGCCCAGGCAGACUGAGGACCACAGCUGUGAGGCGAGGCAAGCGCUGAGCGGGAGAAGCUGGGGUCGGUGCCCAGGGAGGAGCUGCGCCUGCCAACACCCAGGCUGCGGGCACACCCCACGAGGGCCUCAGGAGGGUCGUGUGAGCACAAACUCCAGCACCCAGAGAGGGCGAAGCCAGGCCUCAGCCCCUGCCCCACGCAGGGGCCCAGCCCAGGCGAUGGCACGCCUGCCCUCAACAGCUACACACCUCCCAGUUGCCUCGGUCCCCUGAGCCAAGAAAACUCCUACUAUCUCUUCACCUGAGCUCCUGGCGGUGCUCUCUGUUCUGCCCUUGCUGUGUGUCUUUAGGUUCAACCCUACCCCUCUCUGAUACUCUGGCUUCUCAGCCCUCAAAGGAGGGGAGUGGACACCUCGCUCUUCAUAGCCUCUUCUGGCCCUGGAAAACCACUCCAGGCUUUCUUUGAGCACCUUGGAUGGGUACAGGUACAUCUGGCCUCCCCGGUGUAAGGGAGGCUGGAGAGGCCUGAGGCCGGGGAGGGGGAAGCCGGUUCCCCAUAUCGUGGAGCUUCUAGUGGUGGCCAAGAGACAAGCCCGAUCGAAGAAAACACUUGUAGUUUCACCCAGACAUGAUUCAUUCAUUUCAUUACUCAUUUGCUUAGCGAGCACCUACCAUACACCAGGGACCAUGCUGGGCUCUGAGCACAUAGUAGUGAAAAAGGUGGACAUGGGGGCUCCCCGGUGGCCCCCAAGCUUGUCAUCUGGUAGAAGAGACAGCAGAGCCCACAAACAGAUUGACAAAGUGACAAUGUGUGAUUGAUGCUUUAAAGGUUAUGAAGGAGCACGGAGACAGAGAAUAAUGGUGGAAGGGAGGGGAGAGGAAUAAUCUUUAGAUGAGGGGCUGACCCUGGCCUCUUCGAGGGGUGACCUCAGAACUGAGACCUGAAGGGUGAGAGGGAGCCAGCCACACGUCAUCUUGGGUGGAGGUGGGUGACUGUGCCAAGGGGCCCCAGGAAGCCUUCGUGGCAGAGGCAGAAUGAGACAGGGUGGGGGAGGCGGGAAUGCAGGGGAAAUGGGAGAAGCAGCCAGAUCUUAUAAGAAGUUUUAUUUUGUCCCCAAGACCCAUGGAAGGCCCAUAAGAUGCAAGGAAGGGGCAGUGACUUGAUCAAACCCACGUUUUCCACAUAUUCGUAAGCUCCGCCAGCUCCUGUUUGCAACAGAGGUGGUUAGGGAGUGACGGGGGCGGUGCGGAGCCUGACACAGAGGUCUCCAAAGUGGGGUGCAAACACCCCAGGAGGUGUGCAAGGUAAUUCUCUGAGGCGAAAGGUAUAUUAAAAAUUGUUAUUUCUAUUUCCAUUUCAUCCAAGAAAAAAGGAAAAGAAUUCAGUUUUCCCAGUAUUUAUAGAUUGACACUGAUGUCCGUAUUUGGUCUUUACGUCAAACAUUACUGCACGGAAGAUCAGCCAGGCUUUUCCUUUGCUGUCAGCAUUUUGAAGAACUUUUCUCUUCAGGUGAGGCCAGUUCAGCAGAUUUCUAGAUAAGAAUACCCUUCAAGUGAUUUUUCACCCAGUGGACAGAGGACUUAAAAAGAAAGCAGGAAAAAGAGGGACGAAAAAGGAAGAAACUCUGAACAUAAUGCACGCCCUCGAAUCCAGAGCGAGGCAUGGUUGUGGGCCCUUCACUCCCUGGCAUCUGCUCCGACAGCCACCAGAGAAGCAAACACUGUGAUAAUCCAACUGGGUCUAAAGAGAAAGUGGUCCCCAAAGUUCAUAUAUGAGCGAGAAGACAAUUUGCAAUAAGAAUUUAUAUCCACUACUAUUAGUAAUGAGCCUAAGUCUAAGUAUAGACUUUUGGUUUGCGAUCUUAGCAAGUGAUGGCAUAAAACCAUUCACACUUAUUAAAACAUUUAAAAAUAUUAUUUUAAUCUGACUUAAUUGAACUUCACUUUAUAUUUUUGUGCCUGUUUGAUAAUAUUCAUAAUACAUU